CUCAAACUCGUUUCUGGGGGCCGUGAGGACAGACGUCAGACUCAGGAGGACACUAUCUCCAGCAGCGGAAGCUGAGGGGGUUUGAAUCCCCGCCAAAAGGCAGCGGUCUCCCUGUAGGCAUCCCUGAACAAGUUCUGUGGCAGAACCCUGGCAGUGGGAAUGACCUGCUCUACCCAUUCACCUUGAGAGGACCAAGACUUGAGGGCCAGAUGCUGAGCUUACCCCAACAGGCCUGCUCAGGGAAUAGCGCAAUGCUGACCAGGGCUAGACAUCAGGUCAGCAGAUUCUCUGAGGCCUGGCCUGACAUCUAGCCUAGAAUAUAACAUGAGCUUGCAGAUUGGUCUAGUUCCCAGGCUAGCUGGGAACCAGUGUUGAACUCGAUAUCCCAUCCCUGAAUGGAGUCCAGAGAACUCUGGGGCAUUUCAAACUGUCUGUGUCGGUUGGUCAUCGGCCCAUACGCUAAAUAAAUGACCAUCCAAAUCCAUCCAGUCAGAAGAACUGAAUCCUUCCUGGUCAACUGGGGGGGGGGGGGGAAGAAA